AACGCAUAUUGCGCCCCCUGGUAUUCCGGGGGGCACACCUGUCCGAGCGCCAUUUCGAACCUCAAGCACUGCUUGGUGUUGGGCGCGGUCCCAUGCGGACCCUCCCGCAACCCGUAGGCGGCAGCCGCCCGUGCCCCCAGCGUAGCAAGCCUUCGCACCCGCUCGGGGACGGCGCGGCGGUCGAUCCAACGAACCCAUCAAAAAAGGUUGGCCUCGGAUCAGGUGGGGAUACCCGCUGAACUUAA
rnacentral:misc_RNA from 1 species